ensembl:rRNA 5_8S_rRNA 5.8S ribosomal RNA
GACUCUUAGCGGUGGAUCACUCGGCUCGUGCGUCGAUGAAGAGCAUGGCUAGCUGCGAGAACUAAUGUGGUGCAGGACACAUUGAUCAUCGACACUUGAGCGCACCUUGCGGCCCGGGGUUCCUCCGGGGCUACGCCUGUCUGGCGUCG